rnacentral:rRNA from 1 species
UGGGGAAUUUUGGACAAUGGGCGAAAGCCUGAUCCAGCAAUGCCGCGUGUGUGAAGAAGGCCUUCGGGUUGUAAAGCACUUUUGUCCGGAAAGAAAUCCUUGGCUCUAAUACAGUCGGGGGAUGACGGUACCGGAAGAAUAAGCACCGGCUAACUACGUGCCAGCAGCCGCGGUAAUACGUAGGGUGCAAGCGUUAAUCGGAAUUACUGGGCGUAAAGCGUGCGCAGGCGGUUUGCUAAGACCGAUGUGAAAUCCCCGGGCUCAACCUGGGAACUGCAUUGGUGACUGGCAGGCUAGAGUAUGGCAGAGGGGGGUAGAAUUCCACGUGUAGCAGUGAAAUGCGUAGAGAUGUGGAGGAAUACCGAUGGCGAAGGCAGCCCCCUGGGCCAAUACUGACGCUCAUGCACGAAAGCGUGGGGAGCAAACAGGAUUAGAUACCCUGGUAGUCCACGCCCUAAACGAUGUCAACUAGUUGUGGGGAUUCAUUUCCUUAGUAACGUAGCUAACGCGUGAAGUUGACCGCCUGGGGAGUACGGUCGCAAGAUUAAAACUUAAAUGGAAUUGACGGGGUCAUAGCUG